GACGAACGCUGGCGGCGUGCCUAAUACAUGCAAGUCGAGCGGAUGGAUGGGAGCUUGCUCCCUGAAGUCAGCGGCGGACGGGUGAGUAACACGUGGGCAACCUGCCCCUAAGAUCGGGAUAACUUCGGGAAACAGGAGCUAAUACCGAAUAUGAUUAUGUCUCACAUGAGACAUAAUGGAAAGACGGUUUCGGAGGUCACUGCAGGAUGGGCCCGCGGCGCAUUAGCUAGUUGGUGAGGUAACGGCUCACCAAGGCGACGAUGCGUAGCCGACCUGAGAGGGUGAUCGGCCACACUGGGACUGAGACACGGCCCAGACUCCUACGGGAGGCAGCAGUAGGGAAUCUUCCGCAAUGGACGAAAGUCUGACGGAGCAACGCCGCGUGAGUGAAGAAGGUUUUCGGAUCGUAAAACUCUGUUGUCAGAGAAGAACAAGUACGGUAGUAACUGCCCGUACCUUGACGGUACCUGGCCAGAAAGCCACGGCUAACUACGUGCCAGCCGCCGCAGUAACAC
rnacentral:rRNA from 1 species